rnacentral:rRNA from 1 species
UACGUAGGGUGCGAGCGUUGUCCGGAAUUACUGGGCGUAAAGGGCUCGUAGGCGGCCAACUAAGUCAGACGUGAAAUCCCUCAGCUUAACUGGGGAACUGCGUCUGAUACUGGAUGGCUUGGAUUUGGGAGAGGGAUGCGGAAUUCCAGGUGUAGCGGUGAAAUGCGUAGAUAUCUGGAGGAACACCGGUGGCGAAGGCGGCAUCCUGGACCAAUAUUGACGCUGAGGAGCGAAAGCCAGGGGAGCAAACGGG